GACGAACGCUGGCGGCGUGCUUAACACAUGCAAGUCGAACGGAAAGGCCCUGCUUUUGUGGGGUGCUCGAGUGGCGAACGGGUGAGUAACACGUGAGUAACCUGCCCUUGACUUUGGGAUAACUUCAGGAAACUGGGGCUAAUACCGGAUAGGAGCUCCCGCUGCAUGGUGGGGGUUGGAAAGUUUCGGCGGUUGGGGAUGGACUCGCGGCUUAUCAGCUUGUUGGUGGGGUAGUGGCUUACCAAGGCUUUGACGGGUAGCCGGCCUGAGAGGGUGACCGGCCACAUUGGGACUGAGAUACGGCCCAGACUCCUACGGGAGGCAGCAGUGGGGAAUAUUGCACAAUGGGCGGAAGCCUGAUGCAGCAACGCCGCAUGCGGGAUGACGGCCUUCGGGUUGUAAACCGCUUUCGCCUGUGACGAAGCGUGAGUGACGGUAAUGGGUAAAGAAGCACCGGCUAACUACGUG
rnacentral:rRNA from 1 species